UGGGACAUGAAUAUAGAUACCCCAUCUGCA
rnacentral:piRNA from 1 species